rnacentral:rRNA from 1 species
CCUACGAGCGGCAGCAGUGAGGAAUAUUGGUCAAUGGUCGGGAGACUGAACCAGCCAAGCCGCGUGAGGGAUGAAGGUACAGAGUAUCGUAAACCUCUUUUGUAAGGGAACAAAGGCGGGGACGUGUCCCCGUAUGAGUGUACCUGCAGAACAAGCAUCGGCUAACUCCGUGCCAGCGGCCGCGUUAAUACGGAGGAUGCGAGCGUUAUCCGGAUUUCUUGGGUGUACAGGGUGCGCAGGCGGUCUGUUAAGUCAGCGGGCAAAGCCCGGGGCUAAACCCAGGCCCGCCGUUGAAACUGGCAGUCUAGAGUUGGAGAGAGGUAUGCGGAAUGCGCGGUGUAGCGGUGAAAUGCAUAGAUAUCGCGCAGAACUCCGAUUGCGAAGGCAGCAUGCCGGCUCCACACUGACGCUGAGGCACGAAAGCGUGGGUAUCGAACAGGAUUAGAUACCCCAGUAGUC